AUGCAGUCGCACGAGAACGCUUCAGCUUGCUGAAGUUAGUAAAGUGGCGCACGGGUGAGUAACGCGUGGGUAAUCUACCCCCGAAUUGGGGAUAACAUCGCGAAAGCGAUGCUAAUACCGGAUGAUAUCUUAAAAACCUCGGUUUUAAAGAUCAAAGGUGGCCUCUACAUGUAAGCUUCUGUUUGGGGAUGAGCCCGCGUACCAUUAGCUUGUUGGUAGGGUAAUGGCCUACCAAGGCUACGAUGGUUAGCUGGUCUGAGAGGAUGAUCAGCCACACUGGAACUGACACACGGUCCAGACUCCUACGGGAGGCAGCAGUGAGGAAUUUUGCGCAAUGGGGGAAACCCUGACGCAGCAACGCCGCGUGAGUGAUGAAGGCUUUCGGGUCGUAAAGCUCUGUCAAGUGGGAAGAACCCACAUGAUGAUAAUACCAUUUUGUGUUGACGGUACCACUGAAGGAAGCACCGGCUAACUCCGUGCCAGCAGCCGCGGUAAUACG
rnacentral:rRNA from 1 species